UUUUAUGAGAGUUUGAUCCUGGCUCAGGACGAACGCUGGCGGCGUGCCUAAUACAUGCAAGUAGAACGCUGAAGUCUGGUGCUUGCACUAGACGGAUGAGUUGCGAACGGGUGAGUAACGCGUAGGUAACCUGCCUCAUAGCGGGGGAUAACUAUUGGAAACGAUAGCUAAUACCGCAUAACAGUAUUUACCGCAUGGUGGAUGCUUGAAAGGAGCAACUGCUUCACUAUGAGAUGGACCUGCGUUGUAUUAGCUAGUUGGUGAGGUAACGGCUCACCAAGGCAUCGAUACAUAGCCGACCUGAGAGGGUGAUCGGCCACACUGGGACUGAGACACGG
rnacentral:rRNA from 1 species